AUGGUUGUGAAUUCAUACCUCAACAUUGUGCGUCCCGGGACCAGGCAUCUUUUGCACACAUUAAUUUUUUCAAAGAUGUUUUCUUGGAAUCACUACACUCCCUGGAUACAAGACAGACACAUAGAGGCAAAACAAGUCUCAGAAGAGGGACAACUCUCAUGUGUGUGCUCAUCUCAGAAAGUUGAUGGACUUUCAGUAUGUAUUUAUUAAAUUGUCUUUUGCAGGAAUGUUCUUAAUUUAAUAGAACAUAAGCUCAAACAACAGAAUUUGUGAUUUAAUGUUGAAUCCAGCAUUUUAUUUGAAUCCUUUUCUUUAAAACAUUUUUUUUUUAAUUUUGAAAUGUUUAAAAAAAAUUAUACAAAUUCUGUUGAUUGACCUUCAUUUUUAUAGAAAUUUAAUGUUCUACUCUGAAUAUGGCUUUUUUUAAACAGUUAUUUGUGAUGCUAUGCUAUUUUUAUGAUAAGAUUUAACUGUUGAAAGACUGAAAAUUGUAUUUUACCAGUAAAAGCCUUGCAAUGUCUUUCUGCCAGUUUUAAUAAAUACUUAUUUGCAUCAUCAUUGACUUGGUUUUCAUUCAUUUGUAAAUGUAUUAAGAUAGAGCUCAUGAUAAUGCAUUAUAUCAGUAUUUUAUAGUUUACUGUUGAAAUUAUUCUUUAAAGCCGUUUCAUUGUUAAAUUAUUACAACAUCAUAUUGUAUUUAGGGGUAUUUACAUGAUUUUAUUGGCAACUUUUGUUGCCAGCUAAAUACUGUAAUUUAAUGAAAUUACAAAGAAAUGCUGUAAAAUAUAUUUACAGGACUUUAUUGGCAACUUUUUUGCCAGGUAAAUACUGUACUUUAGUGAAUUUACAAAAUAUUGCUGUAAAAUAAACUACUUGUAAAAUUCAAUGUUACUGUAAAAAAUACUACAAACUACUGUAUAUUCACAUACAGCAAUUAACUGUUAUUUGCUUUGCAGUAAUAUCCUGUAAUCCAUUUUACAGCAAUUAACAUCAUUUUUACAGGAUUUUAUUGGCAACUUUUUUGCCAGUAAAAUCCUGUAAAUUCUACAGUACAUUUUUUACAGUGUAGUGAAGCCAAUAAGGAAGUGACUAAAACUGCAAUUCAUCGACUGGCCGCUUGAGGCUGGCUGCAAAAGGUAGUCAGUCCCAUAGACUCCCCAUGUUAAAAUGCCCAACUUUACAGCAGAAAAAAACAUGUUUACAGCCUGUUUCAAAAAAUGAUUUUGGUCUAUAUUGCUAAUUUUGCUCUUCAUGACAACUGUGAGGGGGGUGAUUUUUUUUAUAACUCAUCCGUUUAAAUUAUAUUAAGCCUUAAAGUUCUGCAUAAUUAAGGACGUGGCCACUUGAGUGACAGGUGGAUUGCCGCUGCUGACAAUGCCGUCGCGCUAGGUGGGCGUGGCUUCAGCAAUCAGCUCCCGCCUUUUUGCCCAUUUUCGAUUAUCUGGGAGAGUCGCGCGGUGACGCGCUGGCAAGAUGGCAACGGCCCGCUCUGCACACUUUAGGCUUCAAAACCGCUAUUGAGGAGUCUAUGGGUGACGUCACGGACACUACGUCCAUAUUUUUUACAGUCUAUGGUCCCCCAGUGUUCAAACAAUACCUUAACCAGGUUCUUUGUUCACCUUUCUGCUUUACAUAUUAACACUGCAUGACUUUCACUAUGACUAAAGACAUUGCAUGAUGCACAGUGCCAUAUUCACCCUUAGGACAGAAAGGAAAAAGAAGUUGAGUAUGAAGGGCAGAAUGUGAGGGGACGCAGUGCGGCUGGGGGUUGUGGAAUCUACUGAUUAAAAAGAAGUGGAAAAAAACUGACUUUGGCUGGAGGUCACUUUUAGACCGCCCCAAGCAUUUGUUCCAAAAGCAGUUUUUUUCCCCCACUAAAAACACCCUUGAGGUGAGCACUAGAAAGGUUAGGG
rnacentral:lncRNA from 1 species